rnacentral:pre_miRNA from 1 species
AUAAUACUUUCUUCGUUUGAAAAAGUUUGUCCUUCGAAUGAAUGCAUUUAACAUCAAGUCAGUGCUAGAUACAUUCAUUUGAACCAUUUGAGGGACAAAAUUUUUCGGACGGAGGAAGUACAGU